GCAUUGGUGGUUCAGUGGUAGAAUUCUCACCUUCCAUGUCGAAAACUCAGGUUCAUUUCCUGGCCAAUGGA
rnacentral:tRNA from 1 species